GACGAACGCUGGCGGCGUGCUUAACACAUGCAAGUCGAACGGAAAGGCCCUGCUUUUGUGGGGUGCUCGAGUGGCGAACGGGUGAGUAACACGUGAGUAACCUGCCCUUGACUUUGGGAUAACUUCAGGAAACUGGGGCUAAUACCGGAUAGGAGCUCCUGCUGCAUGGUGGGGGUUGGAAAGUUUCGGCGGUUGGGGAUGUACUCGCGGCUUAUCAGCUUGUUGGUGGGGUAGUGGCUAACCAAGGCUUUGACGGGUGGCCGGCCUGAGAGGGUGAACGGCCACAUUGGGACUAAGAUACGGACCAGACUCCUACGGGAGGCAACAGUGGGGAAUAUUGCACAAUGGGCGGAAGCCUGAGGCAGCAACGCCGCGUGCGGGAUGACGGCCUUCGGGUUGUAAACCGCUUUCGCCUGUGACGAAGCGUGAGUGACGGUAAUGGGUAAAGAAGCACCGGCUAACUACGUG
rnacentral:rRNA from 1 species